AUUGAACGCUGGCGGCAUGCUUUACACAUGCAAGUCGAACGGCAGCGCGGGCUUCGGCCUGGCGGCGAGUGGCGAACGGGUGAGUAAUACAUUGGAACGUGCCCAGUAGUGGGGGAUAGCUCGGCGAAAGCCGGAUUAAUACCGCAUACGACCUGAGGGUGAAAGCGGGGGAUCUUCGGACCUCGCGCUAUUGGAGCGGCCGAUGACAGAUUAGCUAGUUGGUGGGGUAAAGGCCUACCAAGGCGACGAUCUGUAGCUGGUCUGAGAGGACGACCAGCCACACUGGGACUGAGACACGGCCCAGACUCCUACGGGAGGCAGCAGUGGGGAAUUUUGGACAAUGGGCGAAAGCCUGAUCCAGCAAUGCCGCGUGUGUGAUGAAGGCCUUCGGGUUGUAAAGCACUUUUGGCGGGAACGAAAAGGACUGUGCCAAUACCACGGUUCGAUGACGGUACCCGCAGAAUAAGCACCGGCUAACUACGUG
rnacentral:rRNA from 1 species